rnacentral:lncRNA from 1 species
CUGUCUCCCACAGCAGAGCUGAGGCAUUUUGGGAGGCAGGAGCCAUUCUGCACAGCCCGCACUGAGUCCUGCCCAGCCCUCAGGCACUGCAGAUCUUUUGCCAAAAAGGAAUCUUUGUGCAGGAGGCAUCUUCCCCAGCAGAACCACAUCCCAGCCCUCCUCCUGCGGUCACUGAGCUCAUACGAGCCUUGUGUGUCUGGGUUAGCAUAGAACACAGUCAUCCAUCUGCGUGUCCUCGUGGAAACAUUGGGUCUUCCCACCUGAGAAAUAAGAAAAACACAAGGGAAUAAAGCAAAGCACAGACUGUGCCAUCUGUUCCGAGGCUGCAGCACACACCAGAGCACAGUAACCACAUUUACUGCGUGGAGCCACAACACAACACCAGACCCUGCCAGGGACAUCUUCACUGAGCACACAGCCGGGUGACGGAGCAGCACCAGGCCCAUCUCCUGCUCCAUUCCCUUACAGAUGCCAGAAAAGAAGCAUGAGGGGCUGCAGCCGUGC